CCAUCUGAUCUUAUAUGCCACAUUAUUGAGGAUUUUGUCAGUGAUGUGAAAACAGCGAUGGAGGAAUCAAUCUGCAAGGUUGCCUCCUGUAAAGAAUCCUCAUGGGCCAAGGACUGGAAGACAACGUGCAGUCUACUGGCUAAAGAGAUGUUGAAAACUCUGGAGGGCAAAAUGACACAUUCUCAACCGGCGAAGACAAAACAUCUGAGGAAGAAACAAGACGAAUCUGAAUCAGACACAGAAGCUAACCGUGGUGGUGCGUGAUCACCUGGAUGGAAACGGCGCUGAAAGAACUGAUCACAAAACCAGUGAUCUGCUGAGGGUCACCGCUGAAAGGCUCAUCCAGACCGCCUCAACUUCAGACUUACAGAAUAGCGUCUUUGUGGAUUGCAGGAAGCAAAAAGUUCACCUGCCACCUGAGAAGCUCCACUCAAAAGCCACCAGGGCUGUAAGUCAACUCCUUCUCAGUAGUCUUGCCAGUGAAACAGACCUGGACUCAAUGUUAGAGGCAAUGGCUCGCUCAGGGUUCCCACCUGAUUUGAAGAGAAGUCACCUGGAUGCCACGUCUAGGGACAUCGUUAACACGAUUCAAGGCAAAAUCAGGAAAGCUCACCAUCCUCUAAGCAGCAACACAGCUAAGGACUCUGUGGUGAAACACAUUUUUCAGAGAAUUAAUGAGAAGGUGAGUGUGUUCUUCAAGGGGUUCAAGCAGAUAACAAAGAAAAGUAGUACAGAGCUUCAACAAAACACUGUACCCUCAUUAAGUGCUUCACAGACCUCUCUAAUAGAAGAUCUCACAGUCACCAAUAACCAAACACUGAAACCAGCAGAAACUUUACAGACAGAGGACAGUCAAAUACCUCCAAGAACCCAGGCUAAUAUAGAUUCUUGCACGGAUGACAUCAUUUACAACGUCCUGGAUUUGUACAAGAAAGAGGUCCAGCUUUUUGAAUCCAGCUCACCUGAUGAGUGUAAAGUCAUCAAGUCUACAAGUCUAAGUUCAAGUGAUCAUAAUGAUGAGGGUGUUUUAGAAAAGCAAAGAACCCAUGAGUUUAGCAGCUCCGACAUCAUCCCAGUCCUCUACCAGCCUGAAGUCAACACCUCAACACUCAACUAACUAAGGCCAUUCAGGUGGUGAGCGACAGUCUGGUGAAAAGUGAAUCACAGCAGGUUUCCGUUUGUGCCUCAACAUCAUCUAAAUCUUCCUCCAGAGAUUUACACAGUGCUGCUGUAGAUGUUGCAGGAAUUAUCGUUGAUGCCUUGGAAGAACUCGUUGAGUCGAGUGUGAUUACUAGCAAAAGUGACUCUGAUACUAUAAUUAGGUCACUUGUUGCACUUCCAGUUGAGCCAUCUACUAAUGUGCUAAGGACUUCUGACGUUUCAGUGAGGGGGUCUCGUUUAGCCCCCUUGAACUUUUUUGAAGGAGUACGAGGUUACCUUCAGGCUCUUUUCAUGACUUCUUUGGAGAGACAGAGAAUUUGCUCCACACGGGGUGAUUUGCAGCUCUCUACAGUCCAAAGUGCUUCCCACAUGGAUGAUCUCACUGUUAAGUGCACUAACAGCAUUAUUAGUGAGGUUGUCCAUCUUUAUGACUCAGAAGUAUCCCCUGAGUGUCAAGCACCAACAGGAGAUGAAGACUCACUGGAAAUAAAUGACAUAUUUCAGGGUUUGAGAGAACUUGUCAGAUCUAGUAGAUCCUCAUCCAAGCCUAAAGCAUCAGGCAGGGAUCUCGGAGAGUGUAAGAACAGGCCUUUCCCUGAACUUGACUCUGAUUUUAAAGACACUGCACUUGACUGUAUGUCGUCACAGCGUUCUGUUGAGAACCUUUUCAGUGCUCAGUUCCAGAGCAAAGCAACACAGACUGUUGGUGAAAUACUUCUAAAAAAGUGUAGAAAAACUUUCUAUCUCAAGUUUCAUCCAGUCAUUGAAGUCCUCCUCCAGCUCAACCAUUAUUCAGCCGUCUGUUGCAGCCUCUUCCAUAUCCAUUCAAGCCCAGUCUACAGCUUCAGAUAUCACCAGAAGCUUUUUGAAAUACUUGCAGAAGUGUUGCUCUUCUAAGAGAAAGGAAAGUGCGCCCUCUGCUUGUCACAGCAUAUAUAGACGUGUGCAGAAGAAAGUUUUUGGAUUUCUACUGGGGCUCCAGAUGUCAUUUUUAGAAAGAAGUGGGAUUUCCACACAAGAUCAGCCUGCAGGAGGAGUAGAGUUGUAAUCUGAGGGUGUUGUAACAGUCAGGUCACCUCCUCAUGUAACAGAAAGAAUCCAGAUUCAUUUAGACUCUUAUACGAAUGAGGUGAUUAGAAAAGUUGUGGAGUUAUACAAGAGUGAGCAACAUGUGUCAAGCUCCUCUGAAGUGCCUCUCCACAUUUUACCAUCCCUUCCAGAACAGCCUUUCAGACUGAGGACUGUUAAGAGUAAGAGCUUCCUGACUGAUGCUGUUAAAGUAGUGAGUGAUGUCUUAGUCACAAAAGCAUCCUCACAGAGUUCAAGUCUCUUUUUGGAUUCUUCUAGACAAACAUCUUCUUCACCACUUAUGUCUACAGCCUCAAACGAUUUACAAAAUGCUGCUCUGACUAUUGCAGAGGAGGUUGUUGAUGCUUUAGACAGAUAUGUUGAGUCUAUGCAUUCAGCAAUGGCAAUCACGAACAACAUCUGUGAGAUAUUGAGUUGUCUCAAUACUCUCUCACACAUCUCUGUCUCCAGCAUCCCUGAAAACCCUGACACAUCUGAGAGGAUGGUUUAUUCAGACCCCUUCUUCAUCUUUAGGAAGGUGAAAAAUCUUCUUAAUUUACAAAAGUCUUUUUAUGGAUGCCAAACCUGAAAAGGCUUCAGAGAGAAUUCAAUCCACAUCAACCACCUCCCACCACAGCAUGUCUACAAUUUCUAGAAAAGCUCCAAGCUCAUCACUCUGUGCUGUGUCAGAGAGAACUGCUGACCCUGAGUAUGACAUCAUUCAGAAGUCUGAUUCUGCUGCUGAAACUGUAGCAGUCCCCCAGCCUCAGUCUCUCCAACAGAUGAACCAACUGCAACAUCUGAUUUCUGAUGAAACCAUAUGAUGUCAUGCAGAUAAUCAAUUUUGAGGUUCUCAGAUAUAUAAAACGACCAUCAUGCAUUUGGAAACAAUUUGCUGAGGGACCCAGUCCAAGUUCCCUCAUCACUAGUCCACGCUUUUGUAGAUGAAUCAGUUAAGACCUUACUCCUACACUUGCUAAGUCUGAACUCUGCAUCUUCACAUGCAACUGAUUUACCAGGUACAAGUGGAUGUUCUAAAGGCCAGGAGAGACAUUCGGACAAGUCAGCUUGCUCACAAUGCAGCUUCACUGAUUCAGAAAGCUGUUUGACUAAGGUGCUCACAGACUUACAGAGCAAAAUAGAGGAUUCUCUGUCAUUGCUUGUGGACUGCAAACUAAACCUGAAAGGAGUCAUGAUGUCUCUCUACUGGACUUUAACUCACCUGCUGUGUUACCCACAACCUCAAGCAGGGCUGACAGUAAACUGGUGAAAGCGACAUUGGAUAACAGCAUCUCUAGCCAGGAUUAUGAAACCUACUCUUCCAGCUCCAGGCCACUGAAUGACCACCGUUCCUUGGAUCCAAACCGUGUGGUUGUGAAAAGGAGCAGUCGAAGAUUUCGUAUCAUUGUGUGUAAAACAGCUCCUAUCUUCAGUCCUGGAGUAAAGAAAUCAAGUAAAUUUUUUCCUGCUGACAUGAUGUCUGGCCAUCAACAGUCUACCUCGUCCUCUGGAAAGCUUCAGAAUUCUUCACAGAGAGAAUCAGCCUUCAAGAAACCACGCCAACGUCUGUGCAGGAUCUUCACGGCCAUCCGUAAAGCACUGCCCAGCCCUUUCCAUUGUAUGACCCAGUCAUCUUAAGCACUUAGCAGAGUUUAGCUGCACCCUUAAUCUAACACACCUGAUCUAGAUAAUGAAGACAUUCAGGAGCACCUGAACAUUAGAACCAGGUGUGCUGGAUCUGAAAUCUAUAGGGUGCUGAACCACGAUUGAGCACCCUUGAUUAAAAUUGUGUUGAUUGAUUAAAAAUAAAGGCAUUGCAGCCA